AGUCGUACGCUUCUUUUUCCACCGGAGCUUGCUCCACCGGAAAAAGAAGAGUGGCGAACGGGUGAGUAACACGUGGGUAACCUGCCCAUCAGAAGGGGAUAACACUUGGAAACAGGUGCUAAUACCGUAUAACAAUCGAAACCGCAUGGUUUUGAUUUGAAAGGCGCUUUCGGGUGUCGCUGAUGGAUGGACCCGCGGUGCAUUAGCUAGUUGGUGAGGUAACGGCUCACCAAGGCCACGAUGCAUAGCCGACCUGAGAGGGUGAUCGGCCACAUUGGGACUGAGACACGGCCCAAACUCCUACGGGAGGCAGCAGUAGGGAAUCUUCGGCAAUGGACGAAAGUCUGACCGAGCAACGCCGCGUGAGUGAAGAAGAUUUUCGGAUCGUAAAACUCUGUUGUUAGAGAAGAACAAGGAUGAGAGUAACUGUUCAUCCCUUGACGGUAUCUAACCAGAAAGCCACGGCUAACUACGUGCCAGCAGCCGCGGUAAUACGUAGGUGGCAAGCGUUGUCCGGAUUUAUUGGGCGUAAAGCGAGCGCAGGCGGUUUCUUAAGUCUGAUGUGAAAGCCCCCGGCUCAACCGGGGAGGGUCAUUGGAAACUGGGAGACUUGAGUGCAGAAGAGGAGAGUGGAAUUCCAUGUGUAGCGGUGAAAUGCGUAGAUAUAUGGAGGAACACCAGUGGCGAAGGCGGCUCUCUGGUCUGUAACUGACGCUGAGGCUCGAAAGCGUGGGGAGCAAACAGGAUUAGAUAC
rnacentral:rRNA from 1 species